AAAUUGAAGAGUUUGAUCAUGGCUCAGAUUGAACGCUGGCGGCAGGCCUAACACAUGCAAGUCGAACGGUAACAGGAAGCAGCUUGCUGCUUCGCUGACGAGUGGCGGACGGGUGAGUAAUGUCUGGGAAACUGCCUGAUGGAGGGGGAUAACUACUGGAAACGGUGGCUAAUACCGCAUAACGUCGCAAGACCAAAGAGGGGGACCUUCGGGCCUCUUGCCAUCAGAUGUGCCCAGAUGGGAUUAGCUUGUUGGUGAGGUAACGGCUCACCAAGGCGACGAUCCCUAGCUGGUCUGAGAGGAUGACCAGCCACACUGGAACUGAGACACGGUCCAGACUCCUACGGGAGGCAGCAGUGGGGAAUAUUGCACAAUGGGCGCAAGCCUGAUGCAGCCAUGCCGCGUGUAUGAAGAAGGCCUUCGGGUUGUAAAGUACUUUCAGCGGGGAGGAAGGUGUUGUGGUUAAUAACCGCAGCAAUUGACGUUACCCGCAGAAGAAGCACCGGCUAACUCCGUGCCAGCAGCCGCGGUAAUACGGAGGGUGCAAGCGUUAAUCGGAAUUACUGGGCGUAAAGCGCACGCAGGCGGUCUGUCAAGUCGGAUGUGAAAUCCCCGGGCUCAACCUGGGAACUGCAUUCGAAACUGGCAGGCUUGAGUCUUGUAGAGGGGGGUAGAAUUCCAGGUGUAGCGGUGAAAUGCGUAGAGAUCUGGAGGAAUACCGGUGGCGAAGGCGGCCCCCUGGACAAAGACUGACGCUCAGGUGCGAAAGCGUGGGGAGCAAACAGGAUUAGAUACCCUGGUAGUCCACGCCGUAAACGAUGUCUACUUGGAGGUUGUGCCCUUGAGGCGUGGCUUCCGGAGCUAACGCGUUAAGUAGACCGCCUGGGGAGUACGGCCGCAAGGUUAAAACUCAAAUGAAUUGACGGGGGCCCGCACAAGCGGUGGAGCAUGUGGUUUAAUUCGAUGCAACGCGAAGAACCUUACCUGGUCUUGACAUCCACGGAAGUUUUCAGAGAUGAGAAUGUGCCUUCGGGAACCGUGAGACAGGUGCUGCAUGGCUGUCGUCAGCUCGUGUUGUGAAAUGUUGGGUUAAGUCCCGCAACGAGCGCAACCCUUAUCCUUUGUUGCCAGCGGUUAGGCCGGGAACUCAAAGGAGACUGCCAGUGAUAAACUGGAGGAAGGUGGGGAUGACGUCAAGUCAUCAUGGCCCUUACGACCAGGGCUACACACGUGCUACAAUGGCGCAUACAAAGAGAAGCGACCUCGCGAGAGCAAGCGGACCUCAUAAAGUGCGUCGUAGUCCGGAUUGGAGUCUGCAACUCGACUCCAUGAAGUCGGAAUCGCUAGUAAUCGUGGAUCAGAAUGCCACGGUGAAUACGUUCCCGGGCCUUGUACACACCGCCCGUCACACCAUGGGAGUGGGUUGCAAAAGAAGUAGGUAGCUUAACCUUCGGGAGGGCGCUUACCACUUUGUGAUUCAUGACUGGGGUGAAGUCGUAACAAGGUAACCGUAGGGGAACCUGCGGUUGGAUCACCUCCUUACCUGAAAGAA
rnacentral:rRNA from 26 species